AAUGAAACUUCCUUACUGUUCACUAACCUACAUCUCAAUUACCUCCCAACAUGUUUGCAGCAAGUACCCUGUCGAUGGUAGGCAAGAGGAAGGUGUGACCCACAAAGAUCAAGGAAUCUAAGCCGGCCAAGUUCUAAAGGCUGGAAAGUCCAAGACCAAGACACCAGCAGAUUCAGUGUCUGGUGAGAGCCCACUCUCUGAUUCACAGAAGGCUUCUUACUGUGUUGAAAAGUUACCCAUGGUUCGCUGAGGUCCAACAAUAUUCAGUGAAAAAUUCCAUAAAUAAACAACUUAUACGUUUCGAAUUGCAUGCCGUUCUUAGUAGUGUGAUGAAAUCUCACGCCACCCAGCUCCAUCCUGCCCGGGAUGUGAAUCAUCCUUUUGUCCAUCGUAUUCCUGCUGUAGACAUGACUCAACCCACCCAUCACUUAGCAGCCGUCUGGGUUAUCAGAUUGACUGUCAUAGUGGCACAGUGCUUGUGUUCAAGCAACCCUUAUUUUACUUCCCGAUGGCCCCAAAGUGCAAGAGUAGCGACGCUGGUG
rnacentral:lncRNA from 1 species